rnacentral:tRNA from 1 species
CCAUCGGUGGUUCAGUGGUAGAAUGCACGCCUGCCACGCGGGCGGCCCGGGUUCGAUCCAUGGCCGAUGCA